rnacentral:rRNA from 1 species
GAUGAACGCUGGCGGCGUGCCUAAUACAUGCAAGUCGAGCGAACAGACGAGGAGCUUGCUCCUCUGACGUUAGCGGCGGACGGGUGAGUAACACGUGGAUAACCUACCUAUAAGACUGGGAUAACUUCGGGAAACCGGAGCUAAUACCGGAUAAUAUAUUGAACCGCAUGGUUCAAUAGUGAAAGACGGUUUUGCUGUCACUUAUAGAUGGAUCCGCGCCGCAUUAGCUAGUUGGUAAGGUAACGGCUUACCAAGGCAACGAUGCGUAGCCGACCUGAGAGGGUGAUCGGCCACACUGGAACUGAGACACGGUCCAGACUCCUACGGGAGGCAGCAGUAGGGAAUCUUCCGCAAUGGGCGAAAGCCUGUCGGAGCAACGCCGCGUGAGUGAUGAAGGUCUUCGGAUCGUAAAACGCUGUUAUUAGGGAAGAACAAAUGUGUAAGUAACUAUGCACGUCUUGACGGUACCUAAUCAGAAAGCCACGGCUAACUACGU